rnacentral:rRNA from 1 species
GCAGCCGCCGCGGGAAUACGUAGGUGGCAAGCGUUGUCCGGAAUUAUUGGGCGUAAAGGGCUCGCAGGCGGUUUCUUAAGUCUGAUGUGAAAGCCCCCGGCUCAACCGGGGAGGGUCAUUGGAAACUGGGAAACUUGAGUGCAGAAGAGGAGAGUGGGAUUCCACGUGUAGCGGUGAAAUGCGUAGAGAUGUGGAGGAACACCAGUGGCGAAGGCGACUCUCUGGUCUGUAACUGACGCUGAGGAGCGAAAGCGUGGGGAGCGAACAGGAUUAGAUACCCGAGUAGUCCCUGUCUCUUAUAC